UUGAAAACACGGUGACCUGUUCCUUUAAACACUUUAAAUGUCAAAUGAAAGCCCUUGAAAUCUUUUCUUUGGCAUUAUUCAAUGGACCUCACAGAUGUUUCAGGUCGGCAAAGCAGUGAAACAGACAAAUAACCCUCCGUACCAUCAGGGAACACUUUAGCAGAACUGAUGAGGCUUUAGCGCCGUGUUUCACUCUGAAUGACAGGUCUGUGAAGAAUCGCUCAUUAUUUUCCUCCAAUCCAUCUGCCUAAAACGACAUAUCAGCACCAGGACAAAUCCCCACCCUGUCACGGUGAUUGACGGCUUCACUUACCAAUCAGUGGCACAGAAUCUGAUGUGGCCGGCAUGAUCUCUGCCACCAACAGCAUGAAGACAUGAGAUCUUCUCUCCAGAAUCUGCCGGCAGAAGAAACACCAGCAGAGCGAGAGUUGAGAUGAGAACACAAGGAAUCAGAAGAUUCAGACCAUAAUACAGCGUCCUCCUCCUCAUUACCAGUGUAAAAGUCACAUCAGGCAAUAUAUCCAGUUAUAUCUGCGUCCAUCAUCUGGAGAUCCAGAGACCAUCCACCGUACGUCCACGAGCCAAACUUCAGAUCACAUCGCUGAACAUCAAACGGAAACCAGCGCACAUCGAU